UACGGAGGAUCCAAGCGUUAUCCGGAUUUAUUGGGUUUAAAGGGUGCGUAGGCGGCUUAUUAAGUCAGGGGUGAAAGACGGUGGCUCAACCAUCGCAGUGCCUUUGAUACUGAUGAGCUUGAAUACACUUGAGGUAGGCGGAAUGUGACAAGUAGCGGUGAAAUGCAUAGAUAUGUCACAGAACACCAAUUGCGAAGGCAGCUUACUAAGGUGCAAUUGACGCUGAGGCACGAAAAGCGUGGGGGAGUCAAAACAGG
rnacentral:rRNA from 1 species